AUACGGAGGAUCCGAGCGUUAUCCGGAUUUAUUGGGUUUAAAGGGUGCGCAGGCGGCCAUUUAAGUCAGCGGUUAAAUCGUGGGGCUCAACCCCAUUCUGCCGUUGAUACUGGGUGGCUUGAUUGCGGUCGAGGUUGGCGGAAUUCGUUGUGUAGCGGUGAAAUGCAUAGAUAUGACGAAGAACACCGAUUGCGUAGGCAGCUGACCAGACCGCAAAUGACGCUCAUGCACGAAAGUGCGGGGAUCGAACAGGAUUAGAUACCCUGGUAGUCCGCACAGUAAACGAUGAAUACUUGUUUUCGGCGAUAUAAUGUCGGAGGCAAAGCGAAAGCGAUAAGUAUUCCACCUUGGGAGUACGCCGGCAACGGUGAAACUUAAAGGAAUUGACGGGU
rnacentral:rRNA from 1 species